GCCCCUGUAGCUCAGUGGUAGAGCGCGUCCUUGGUAAGGACGAGGUCACGAGUUCAAUCCUCGUCGGGGGCU
rnacentral:tRNA from 1 species